GCCUCCUUCGGGGGGUACUCGAGUGGCGAACGGGUGCGUAACACGUGGAUGAUCUGCCGUGCACUUCGGGAUAAGCCUGGGAAACUGGGUCUAAUACCGGAUAGGACUUCGCAUCGCAUGGUGCGGGGUGGAAAGCGUUAUGUAGUGGUGUGCGAUGAGUCCGCGGCCUAUCAGCUUGUUGGUGGGGUAAUGGCUUACCAAGGCGACGACGGGUAGCCGGCCUGAGAGGGUGACCGGCCACACUGGGACUGAGACACGGCCCAGACUCCUACGGGAGGCAGCAGUGGGGAAUAUUGCACAAUGGGCGCGAGCCUGAUGCAGCGACGCCGCGUGGGGGAUGACGGCCUUCGGGUUGUAAACCUCUUUCAGCGCCGACGAAGCGGAAGUGACGGUAGGCGCAGAAGAAGCACCGGCCAACUACGUGCCAGCAGCCGCGGUAAUACGUAGGGUGCGAGCGUUGUCCGGAAUUACUGGGCGUAAAGAGCUCGUAGGCGGCUUGUCGCGUCGUCUGUGAAAUCCUGCGGCUUAACCGUGGGCGUGCAGGCGAUACGGGCAGGCUGGAGUACUGCAGGGGAGACUGGAAUUCCUGGUGUAGCGGUGAAAUGCGCAGAUAUCAGGAGGAACACCGGUGGCGAAGGCGGGUCUCUGGGCAGUAACUGACGCUGAGGAGCGAAAGCGUGGGGAGCGAACAGGAUUAGAUACCCUGGUAGUCCACGCCGUAAACGGUGGGUACUAGGUGUGGGGCCCUUCGGUGGGUUCUGUGCCGUAGCU
rnacentral:rRNA from 1 species